CAACAGAUCUAGUUAAAGUUAGCAGGGACCCCGCUUUACUCAGAAGAGUUCUCCAGUCUACAAGUAGUUUCAUGGAUUUCAGGAGCAAAAUGCCUCUGUACCCUGUGAGAUGAUGCAGCAUUCCCCGUGCCCCACGUGAGGGGAGACACGCAGGAUUGUGCUCUGCUGCGACUUCCGAGUGCAAGUGUUUACGAAUGUGUUCUGUGUAUGCAUCAAAGGCCAGGUCGCUCCCUCCCACUGCGUAGCUCUCAAGGAAGCACCAUCCCUGCAAAAUUUCCAUUGUUCAAGAUCCCCAUGGAGAGCUGGAA